AUAUAAUAUUUUAACAUAAUUAAUAGAUUGCUGCAUUGGCAAUUCGAAGUGGGAAUGGUUUAUUACUUAAAGGAGGAAAUGAAGGCCGAAGAUCAAAUGCUGCCUUACACAAGGUGAUUACUUCAGUCAUGCCAGAUAUAGUUGGCGACAAACUCAUUGGGCUUGUGACUUCAAGGGAUCAAAUUCCAGAUCUACUUAAGAUCUUGUGGUCCCUAGAGGCAGUAAUAGGCUUGUUUCUCAAAUCAAGGAGUCAACAAGAAUUCCAGUUCUUGGUCAUGCUGAUGGAAUUUGUCAUGUAUAUGUUGACAAGUCUGCUAAUAUUGAUAUGGCAAAGCAGAUAAUUAGGGAUGCAAAGAUUGAUUAUCCUGAUGCCUGCAAUGCAAUGCGGUCAUACUGAAUGCAUUGUCACAGACGAUUCUGAAGUGGCUGAGACUUUCAUAUCUCAAGUUGACAGGUAAACAGUGCUGCUGCAUUCCACAAUAAUGCAAACGCUUUGGGCUUGGGGCAGAGGUUGAUUUUAUGAGACUGAAAAAUAAAUGAACUCUUACCUAUCACUGCCUCCCUGAUGACAAAAGUUUUCUGUUUGAUGAAGCAAACCAGUUUCUAGAGGAACUUCAGUUUGUCCAGCAGGGAAGUUUUAUUGCAGAAACCUCGGAAGCAAGCCACACUUGAUAGUUUCUUCCCAUGUUAAUGAUCGUUAUUGUCUGAGAAUUGCUUUUCCUUCUGUUUUUUGUUCUCUUGUGUGGGAUCUGUUCUAGACUAAGAAUAUGUAUGCCAGAAGAGCUGAAGCUUGGGCUGCAGUUGAAAGAUCUCUCAAUUUUCGACUUUAGGAAGCUGAGGCUAAAGCUGCAACUGCCGAGGAAAGAGAGCGAUCUGUGAAUGACCGCUUAUCUCGAAUCUUGUCUCGAAUUAAUGUUCUUGAGGCCCAGGUUCUGCAAUUUCUUGAAUGAAGUCAUGUCUUUAAUGGUGGUUUUGUGUCGAGCUGUCAAAAAAGCCCCCAACACCAAGGCCCCCUUAAUUUUUUUUUUAAAAAACCUCUAAUAGUAGGCCCCCUAUCAAAUUAAUUUUUGUAAAAUUUAGGCCCAUUAUUUCAUGGGGCCUAAGGGAGGGGGCUCUGGGAGCUUACAGGCCCCCAAUAUUUUGCUAAUUUUGAGUUU